rnacentral:piRNA from 1 species
UGGGUUCAUUUUCUACAUAUUCCAUGUGGA